CUACCCACAGUGUUGCUGCUGCUCGCUUACACACUCAUACUUUUCGUUUAAGAUCAACGUUGCAUUUCGAUUCUGCGUUCAAUUGCAUUCUAAGCUUCGGCGAGCAAACAACUUGAGCGGUACAACGGCGAAUAACGCGUCGCGGCAUUUAGUAAAACGACAUAAUUACAACAACAACGACAAUAUUGAUAUUUAACACACUUUUUAGUUCAAAUAAAAAAUAAAUCUAAAGUGUUCAAUUAUGGUUUUGCUGCGAGUUAUCAAGUAUCUUGUGGGCUGUGUGGUGCGGCUGUGCGAGGGUCUGAACCAGAGCGUUCUGUCUUGGAAAAUGCUCAAAUAUCGCAUGUUGCAACAGAGUUGACUAGAAGGCGUGCGCGGGUGGAGUCAGCGUAGUCUAAUUUGUGUUACCUUUAUUGGCGAUGAUGAGCUGUUGAAUAUCUUCGAAAAUUUAUAGACGCUGAAGUUACUUCAAGUUCGUUACUUAAGUCUUUUGUAUGAUAAAGUCCAUUAUGCAAAGUGUGUUGGGAAUAAAAUAUUCAUAAAUUAAAUAA